rnacentral:rRNA from 1 species
AUACAGAGGGUGCAAGCGUUAAUCGGAAUUACUGGGCGUAAAGCGCGCGUAGGCGGUUUGAUAAGUCGGAUGUGAAAUCCCUGGGCUCAACCUGGGAACUGCAUUCGAAACUGUCUGACUAGAGUAUGGUAGAGGGUGGUGGAAUUCCUAGUGUAGCGGUGAAAUGCGUAGAUAUUAGGAGGAACAUCAGUGGCGAAGGCGACCACCUGGACCAAUACUGACGCUGAGGUGCGAAAGCGUGGGGAGCAGACAGGAUUAGAAACCCUAGUAGUCC